GGGCAUCCAGUGAGAUUGAGGUACUCGAGAGAUUCCAAGUUGAGAUCGGUUGGAAAACUCUCUAGCUUUUUGCAAUCACUCAUAUCUAAAUAGAUCAGUUUAGUGGCAUUCUGAAUCGAGGAAGGAAGUGUCACCAAAGAUUUGCAUCCAACAAGAUCUAAUUCCUCGAGGUUUAUGGCUAAAGAAAGAUCUGGAAUUUCUUUCAAAUUGUUGGAAUACCUCAAAUUCAUCUCCUUGAGACUUCCAAGGGGCUGAAAACAAAAUAUGGAAAAAGAGAAUACACACGUUCACAAAUAUACCACAGUUCUGUUCUAAAAACUGACAACUAAUAAAAUUUAGAAUUCGUACCAGAGUUCCUUCCCACAGUUUCUCAAGCUUACUAUACUUCAUUAUGAGGUUAACUAGAUAUUCCGCCUUAAAAGUAGAUGGCAAAGACUUCAAUGGACAAUCAUCCCAGUCUAGCAAUCUGAGUUUAAGGGGCAAAUAAACGAGGCUCUGAGGUAGAUCCCCGUAAUAACCAAUUUCUAGAUAUUGCAGAUUACGCAUGCCUUUGAACGAUUCUUUAUCUAUUAAUAACGGCCUUGUCGAAAAAUAUUCCUCGAAUGGCAAACGUAUUCCAAGAAGAGUUUCUGUCCCCUGAAAAAAAAUCCGAAGAAAACUAAUAUAAUCUUAACAAUCGCAACCCUUUUUAAUUUUCUGACACAUCAAAGCUACAUUUUAAUUACGCAUGAGGCAACAAUUGCUUAAGUUUAUCAAUCCCCAAAUUACGAUUAUAUUAAUAUAAAGUCAUGCAUUCAAACGGAGCUGCGAAAAAAACUUACAGUUUUCUCGGUCACUACUUCAUGAAUAUCUUCAAAAUUCGUCAGAAAUCGACGUUUUCCAGGAUUACCCUUGGACUUUGCACGAUCAAUUUCUCUACCCAAUUUCUCUAGCAAAUUGUGCAUCUCUAUAUAUCCAUCCGGUGUAAUACGUAUGAGGGACUUCUCAGUCAACAUUGUAAACCCAACAUUAUCUUUAAGUAAAUCUUUGACGUAACUGACUUCAAAACCAUUGAAUAAACACGCGAUGUAAAGGAACAUAUCUUGAUCUUUUUGAUGUAAUCUAUCGUAGCUGACUCUUAAUGUUUUCAUAAUAUCUCCGUUCAAACCAUUUCGGAGCCUAGGCAUCAUCUCCAUCCACCAUUCUUUGGUCCUUCCCUUUAAAGACGAACCAAGGACACUAAGACCCAACGGAAGAUUACCGGCAAGCUUCGCAACUUCAAAUGCUAGUUCCUUAAAAUCAUCAGGUGGAGAGUCUUUCCCAAAAGCAGAUCGGCAUAACAUCGUAAGAGCAAGAUGUUCAGAUGGGAACUCCACCUCAUAUAUAAGGUCAAUCUCAUGAGCCUUGAGAAGUUGCCUAUCUUGAGUGAUCACAAUUAUUCUGCUUCCAGAUCCAAACCAUUCAGCUUUUCCCACCAAGGUCUUAAGAAACUCUAGACUAUCCACAUCAUCAAGAAGGAUAAGAACUUUCUGUUGCUUUAACCUUUGCUCCACCACACCAAAAUGCUCUAUCUUUAUGUCCUUUUGACCUAAGAUUUCCGAGAGAAGUUCUUUUUCCCACCUCAACUUCAUGCCAGAGACGUCACUACCGCUGGUGCUUUUAUAUGUUAUGAAAGCGCGAUGGUGGAACUGGAUAGAGAGUUUACUGUAAAGAGCUCUUCCUAUGGUACUCUUACCAAUCCCUGAUUGUCCCCAAAUCCCGACCAUUAUUCUAGCUUCCUUGGAUUCCAAGCACAAUACUGAUUUUAUUGCCUCUAUAUGAUUUUCAAUUCCGACUAAGUCGCCAAAAUCAUCCGAUGGUGUCAUAGUUUUUCUCAAAACAUCCUCGGCAAGCUCUUCAAUCAUGGCUGCUUCACUAGGCCUAAUAACAAUAGUCAACUGUUUCAUUAAAGAAGCAACGCAAAACAAAAAAAUCACGAAGUCUAUUCAUUGAAAUACCAUUUCCGAAGAUCAUAUCCGGCCAUAACUGCAACAGCUGCUAGAGCUUGCUUCCAACUUUGUUUCUCAUCCUCUGAUUUAGCCUUGCAUGUCUCUUCAAAGACCUUUCCAAAUUCGCCGGUCUGUUUUUUAACUUCCGAAGCAUCAACGUGGAAGAAAAUCGGAAUCACCAUUUGAUUCAAAUUCGUAUAACACUUGUGAAUCUCCACCAAUUCAUUCAGGCACCAGGUGGAUGAAGCAUAGUUCUUAGAGAAGAUAACGAUUGCUAUUCUCGAUUCUUUUAUUGCCGAUAAAAGCUCCGGGCCGAUUGAGCGGCUCCUCUCGAUCUCAUCAUCUAUGAAUGUGAUUGCUUUGCCCCUGAGCUCCUUGAGAAGAUGGCUGAGGAAUGAGUCACGGACAUCUUCUCCACGAAAGCUUGGGAAAACGUCGUAUCUCCGGCUGCCAGAAGAAGAAGCUAUCUCCAUAUCAUCAUCUUUGGAUGUAUCCAUCAUUUCACGGUCGAGCUCGAGCUCCUUGACAAGAUGGCCACGAAACAAUUUGCCGAAAUUUUCUCCACUGAAGCUCGCGAAAACAUUGUAUAUCCAUCUGAGAACAUUGUAUAUCUAUCUGAAGCAAGAAGACGCCAUGGCAGAGGAUGAGAGAGAAGAGACGAAAUUUCUCAAAGGAAAACUCUUUGAAGUAUAUCAAUAAUACAACACAGUAACAGAGAGGAGAAACUUGGUCUUCCUUUCCUCGAAGACUUGUAUAGAAGACUUACUAUACAAGAUAUUGUUUUAGUGGUUAAAAUCAAAUCCCAUUACAAGACAAUUGGGACAAAUAAUACGUAAACUUGGUCUUCCUUUCUUAGAAGACUUGCAUAGAAGACUUACUGUACAAGAUAUUUUUUUAGUGGUUGAAAAAUCAAAUCCCUAACAAGAUAAGGCCAUAAUUAUGUGAUACAGAAACUUCCCCUUCCUUUCCUUGGAAAGCUUCUACUCUAUAACGAUAAGUCAAUUUUGUGGCUAUCAGUCGUCACUGAAUUUAUCUAUGAUGAUGAGACGUAGCCAUUCUACAAGAUUUCAAGAUAAUUUCUAGGCAAAAUAGACAGAAACUUCCUCGAGAGCUACUUUUCCUCUCCACAGAUAUUUUUGAAGACCCAAAAUUUUGUGGCUGUCAGUGGUUCAAGACAGAAACAAGAUUUCAAUUUAUUUUAACAAUGUUAAGGUUCACUAAUAUCAAAAGUCUGGUUUUCCUAUUCAUACUGUACAUACAUGCAUGGAAAUUAGGAGAAUAAUUAGUAUAUCGAUUAUGAGGAUUAUAAUUCAACUAAUAAUACAGUGAAAACACUAACAACAAACUAUCUAGUUUUCUAGAGCUGUGUGGUGUGGACAGUGGAGAGAAUAUUUUCAUGUAAAGUUUUCUUGUUUACAUUUACAAUUGUAAUAUUAGUUUAGAGUUUUGGCUUACUGUGUCAGCAACCACUGUAGGCUGCGAUUGCAUUUGCUGCCGUUUAAGGAGCAUUUGGUUUCUAAGGGUAGGUUUCAUGUACUGGAUGGAAGAAGUCGUGCUUGAGAGCAUCCUCUGCACUGAUUCGCCGUCUCGGGUUAACGGUCAAACAUCUAUCAACGAGGUCAAGGAGCGACCAUGGAAUUGCAUCUAGAAACUCCAUGCGUUUUGGGUUGAGUUCGUACCAUUUUCUCAACUCCAUCCCUUUCAAGUACCUUGACUUGUACAAUUCCUGAAACAACAACACAAAAAUCAACCUGAACUCAUCUCUCACGAUCAUCUAUCUAAUAAUUUUGUCGGUAAUUUACAUUUUUAAGAUAUAUAAUGUUUUGGAACACAAAAUGCUAACAAUGAAAACCCUUUUGUGAUAUUUGAAUCCAAAUGCUGGCGGCAAAGAAGAACAGAACAUGUAUGUUAUGUUCACACCAAUGCAGUAAUCAAAUGAAUGGAGAGUUUACAAGGGAUGAAAGAUGAGAUUUUACCUCAUGUAAAGAGGAUUCACGGUUGUGCAGCUUGGCUACUUCCCAUAAUUCUUCACUGCCUCGUAGUUGCGCAAUGUCCUUUAUGUUCCUGGGAAUGACAAGGUCGUUGUAAGACGGCAAGAAAGAAGAAAAAAGUGGAACCGAGUGAUGGUGUAUUCAGUCAAGUCAGAUCUUAACUGUUCAGGGUCACCAGUGAGAGCUUUCCUUCCCAUUAUGAGGUAUAACAAAGUAACUCCCGCAGAACACACGUCUUUUUUUAGGUCCUUGGUCCAAAGACCAUUCAGCCGAGAACAGCCCUAGAGAAUUAGCUUUUCCAUCCCAUCCUAGAUGUGUUAAUGAGUAGCUCAGGGAACAAGAUAUUUUCAUAUGGAUUUAACUAGUAUCAAGGGAAGUGAUAUAUCUGCAGGAAAAAUGGCUUGUGUCAAAACAUAUGAAAUCGUCUUGCCAUUAUCAUUAUAGUCAUGCUCGGUCCCAAGUUAUCCUAAAACAGAGGAAAACCGAAUAAUAAGAUGCUUCAGUUACCAGAACCAGAAUUCAAGAUAGGAAUUUCUUCAUCUUGUUGUUCACUUAUCAUGGAAUCAACACACAAAGAUUCCCCCUCCAGAGAUGGAUAAGAAGAAACUGAUGAUGCUUCUCCCUGCCCUAACGAAAGCUCCAUAUUUAGAGCGGUCAAGCUUGUGUCCGCUACAAUUUGGACACAGGGUAAGUUGAUAUAUUCUUCAGAUGUUCCCGAUGUCAUCUGCAUCGUAAACCAAAGGAUCGAUUCUGUUAAAUAGUCUGUCACUAAGGUAUUGAUCCUGGAAAAUAUAAUAAAACAUCAAGAGAUAGCUUUGCAAUUUUCAGUUCUAAUUAUGUCAAAAGGCUUACCCGCAUCCGCUUAUUGCUUCUCGCAGUCUCUACAACAUCACAUUUUUCUCGAGACUGUUGGCUGUACUCUGUUUCAGAGCUUCCAUCACUAUCAUCUGGAAAUGGAGACACAUUCAAGAGUCGUAUACCACAUUCUUUUAUCCUCUUGGAGCAAGAAAAGUUAAACUCCACAUCGUUGAAAGUCAAUUUAGAUGGAAGAUCUUCAGGCUGGAAGUUGAAGGAACAGAAAACCAGAUGAUCCGUCUUACACAACCGCAGGUCUGCAUCUUUAAAAAAUGAUUUGCAAUACAGUGUCCCAUUGAAGCCAGCAUUUACCUCACAAUAUGGACCCCAACUCUUGCCCUCAGUUAGAAGGUCAACCACGAUGCAAGCCUUAAAGCAAGAAUACUUGAGAAAGAGAGCUCUAAGGUAAAGUGACAGUUAGGGAAUCUCCAUAAGCUCGAUGUUGAAAAUACGUUGGCACUUCUCCACCUGGUAAGGACAUAGGCUUGAACAAUGACCGUAAGAUGAGUUCUCGCGCAUCUCCAUCCAAUUUGCAGCAGUUCUGGAAGAGAUAAUGAAAGGCCCCGAUCCGGACUACCUAAGUCCGGACGAGAUCUCUCGACCCAAGUCACUAAGUGACUCGACCCAAGUCACUAAGUGACUCGACCCUAACCAUUUAUGAGGUUCAUUCCCUAGUGUAAUCCGUUUCAUACAAUUCUGUGAUUCAAUAUAUGAGACGAAUAGAGUAAACAAACAAUCGGAUACUUUAUUAAUUAAGUAAAGGAUUCGAUACAACUUAUGAGUUUGCAUAUAAGCUAUUACAAGUAAUUUAAUCGAUCCCUAGACUAUCCGAAACUAUCACCACCCAUCAUUCCGGCCUUGAGUCUCUCGCGCCUAAGCCAAGUCCUUCCCACUAUCACCAUUGGUUCCUGAAAGUCAUAGAGCCAUAAGUAAUUUCAUUUACUUAGUCAUAUGCAAGUCCAUGCAAUGCUCCAUAGUCCUUACACUACUCGGAUCCGCGGAGAGGAUUCGGAGAAGGGAAGAUCGCGCAUAAGUCCGGCCGAUUCUCGGUAGGUCAAUUAAGACCCGCCGGUCCUCCGCCGAGCCGCGUCUCCGCCCCAGCCGAUCCCUUGCCCGGACCGAGGCUUGUGUAGGUUGCACAUGACCCGAUUCUACCCAGCCCAUUAGUCGUUCCUUUCAAGGAAUCCCGACUCAUUUAACGCAUUCUAGAAUCCUUAGACUCGAGGUCUAGGAUUCCUUACCUUCCUUCACGAUGUUCGGUCGAUCCGACCCUUCUUCUUCCUUGCCGGCCACAGUCCGCCUACCGAUUUCCUCCGAUGAUUUAUUCUCCCGAAAGGGAGAGAGUUUAAUGGUGAGUUUCCGGUAUUUUCCGUGUGUUCUGCUGCCUCUAAAGGUCUUGGGCGCCCUCCCUUAUAUAAGGAGCGAAUUGAUGCUUCCCGAAGGAUCACCUCCGUUCCUUGCACCUUUCCGAAGAGUUGCAUCUCUCGGUCCGUAACUGCUCGCCCUUAUCCACCCUUUGGGCGAGCACCCGUUCGACCGUAACCGCCCAAGUAACCGUCCGGGUAACCGCCCAGCUGGUCAGACAGUCGACCAGCUGCCUCGAGCUCAACCGUCACUCGCCCAGCUGCUCGAGCUGGACUGUCACUCAACCCGAGUAACCGUCACUCCUUCCAGCUGAGCUUGAGCUUCGGACGAGCUGACCCAGCUGAUUCCUUUACGAUCCUAGCUUAGCCCGCAUGAUUUCCCUUUGUCCGAGCUUAUGGCCAACUCCUUCCCACUUGUCCGAGACUCCACCUUCUUUUCUCGGACCAAGUCCCAGCCAACGAUCCUAUUGAGGAUCGCGGGCGUUACAAGUCUCCCCUUUGAAUUGGAUUCGACAAAUCGAAUCCAAGUUGAUCUUUACCCAUCUCCUUGAACCACUCCGGAAAAUUGGCCUUCAUCUUAGUCUCGGUUUCCCAAGUGUAUUCUUCACGGCCUCCACAAUUCCACAAGAUUUUUAACAAAUCCAUUGAUUUCCCCCGAGUCCCUUUCUUCAUUUGGUCCAUGAUCCGUACCGGCCAUGCUUCCACCGUCAUGUUCUCCUUUAACCCAGGAGGUACAUCUUCCAUGCUUUCUUCUUGUUCACUUAAGCACUUCCGUAGUUGUGAUACAUGAAAGACAUUGUGAAACGCGUCUAGUUUUGGAGGAAGGUCAAGUUUGUAUGCCACCGCCCCUACUCGUUCGAUCACUUUGUACGGGCCAACGUACCUUGGCCUUAACUUUUUCCUUGAUGUGAAUCGCCCUGCCCCUUUGUAGGUCAUCGCCUUUAAAUACACCAAGUCUCCCACUUGGAAUUCUAAUUCCUUUCGACGCUUGUUGGCGUAACUUUUCUGACGAUCUUGGGCUUCCUUUAACUUGAUUUUUAAGAACUUCAUUUUCUUCGUGGUUUCAUCCACGACCGCAGGUCCGAACAACCGACGUUCGCCCACUGGCGUCCAACACAACGGUGUUCUACCAGCUCGGCCAUACAACGCCUCAUAGGGAGACAUACCAAUACUAGCUUGAAAACUGUUAUUGUACGCAAAUUCUACUAACCUUAGAUAUUUCUCCCAGUUUCCUCCCCAAUCCAAGACGCAUGCCCUCAACAUGUCCUCGAGGGUUUGAAUCGUUCGUUCGGACUGUCCGUCCGUCUGUGGGUGAUAUGCAGUACUUAGAUUCACUCGAGUCCCUAAGACCUUUUGAAAAGGCUUCCAAAAUUUUGACGUGAACCUUGUGUCUCGGUCCGACACUAUACUAACCGGAAUCCCAUGUAAUCGCACGAUCUCGUCUAUGUACUUCUCGGCAAUGAUUUCGGCUGCAUCCUUAUCCGAGAUUGCCAUGAAGUGCGCAGACUUAGUCAAUCGGUCUACUACAACCCAUACCGCAUUGUGUUUGGACUUGAUCCCCGUCGGCAGUCCCGUGACGAAGUCCAUCAUUAUAUGGUCCCACUUCCAUUCCGGUAUAGGUAGGUUUUGUAACAUUCCACUUGGUACUUGAUGCUCUUCCUUGGCUACCCACCUGGCCACAUCUUUCUUCAUUCCUACCCAAUGGUAGUAUCUUUUAAGGUCGCGAUACAUCUUGUUCGACCCAGGAUGGAUCGAGAACUUCGAUUGAUGCGCUUCUUUUAGGAUUUCCUCCUUCAACGCCUUAUCGUUCGGCCCACAUACUCGACCGUUCACCACGAUAGUACCAUUGUUCGAGCUUUGGUACUCGGUUUUAUUGUUUUGUGCCCACCCUUUUAUUUCUUCAUCUCGUUCUUGAGCCGACCGGAUCCUACUAAGUAGGUCGGCUUGAUUGGCGGCUCUCAACCCUAAGGGUUCAACUUCCUUAGACAAAGCAUUCAAAUGCAAUGUCCCCAUCAUGUUAACCAAAUUCACUUGGUUCCUUUCCGCUUCCACUACCGUGCGCAGCCUGCUCAAAGCAUCUACAACUUGGUUGGCCUUGCCCGGAUGGUACGCUAUGUUCAAGUCGUAAUCCGCCACAAGUUUUAUCCACCUUCUUUGCCUUAGAUUUAACUCCGGCUGGGUGAAUAUGUAUUUUAGGCUCUUGUGGUCAGUAAAGAUUUGAACCUUGGCACCAUACAAAUAUGAUCGCCAAAUCUUCAACGCAAAUACUACCGCGGCCAUUUCCAAAUCAUUCGUAGGGUAGUUCUUCUCGUGUUUCCGCAAUUGCCUCGAGGCGUAUGCGAUAACACUCCCCUUUUGGAUCAAUACGCAUCCUAGUCCUACUAUGGAUGCGUCCGUGUAGACCGUAUAGGGCUCACCUUCCUCCGGUAAGACCAACACCGGUGCAUUAGUCAACAUGGCCUUUAACUCCAGGAAGCUUCUCUCGCAUUCCUCCGACCAGUUGAAUGCGGUGUCUUUUCCGGUCAAUUGAGUCAUGGGUUGGGCCAUGCUCGCAAAUCUCUCGACCCAAGUCACUAAGUGAAUGGACCCUAACCAUUUAUGAGGUUCAUUCCCUAGUGUAAUCCGUUUCAUACGAUUCUGUGAUUCAAUAUAUGAGACGAAUAGAGUAAACAAACAAUCAGAUACUUUAUUAAUUAAGUAAAGGAUUCGAUACAACUUAUGAGUUUGCAUAUAAGCUAUUACAAGUAAUAUAAUUGAUCCCUAGACUAUCCGAAACUAUCACCACCCAUCAUCCCGGCCUUGAGUCUCUCGCGCCUAAGCCAAGUCCUUCCCACGAUCACCAUUGGUUCCUGAAAGUCAUAGAGCCAUAAGUAAUCUCAUUUACUUAGUCAUAUGCAAGUCCAUGCAAUGCUCCAUAGUCCUUACACUACUCGGAUCCGCGGAGAGGAUUUGGAGAGGGGAAGAUCGCGCAUAAGUCCAGCCGAUUCUCGGUAGGUCAAUUAAGACCCUCCGGUCCUCCACCGAGCCGCGUCCCCGCCCUAGCCGAUCCCUUGCCCGGACUGAGUCUUGUGUAGGUUGCACAUGACCCGAUUCUACCCAGCCCAUUAGUCGUUCCUUUCAAGGAAUCUCGACUCAAUUAACGUAUUCUAGAAUCCUUAGACUCGAGGUCUAGGUUUCCCUUACCUUCCUUCACGAUGUUCGGUCGAUCCGACCCUUCUUCUUCCUUGCCGGUCACAGUCCGACUACCGAUUUCCUCCGACGAUUUAUUCUCCCGAAAGGACGAGAGUUUAAUAGUGAGUUUCCGGUAUUUUCUGUGUGUUCUGGUGCCUCUAAAGGUCUUGGGCACCCUCCCUUAUAUAAGGGGCGAAUUGAUGCUUCCCGAAGGAUCACCUCCGUUCCUUGCACCUUUCCGAAGAGUUGCAUCUCUCGGUCCGUAACUGCUCGCCCUUAUCCACCCUUUGGGCGAGCACCCGUUCGACCGUAACCGCCCAAGUAACCGUCCGGGUAACCGCCCAGCUGGUCAGACAGUCGACCAGCUGCCUCGAGCUCAACCGUCACUCGCCCAGCUGCUCGAGGUGGACUGUCACUCAACCCGAGUAACCGUCACCCCUUCCAGCUGAGCUUGAGCUUCGGACGAGCUGACCCAGCUGAUUCCUUUACGAUCCUAGCUUAGCCCGCAUGAUUUCCCUUUGUCCGAGCUUAUGGCCAACUCCUUCCCACUUGUCCGAGACUCCACCUUCUUUUCUCAGACCAAGUCCCAGCCAACAAUCCUAUUGAGGAUCGCGGGCGUUACAGAUAACCUGCCCUACAGGCCAAAUGUUUGUGGUUAAGGUUUUCCCAGAAACGAUGACGAGUAUACUCAAUGUUUUCAUAUAAUGGUAUAUAAGAAGAGUGAUCUUCCACACUGGCAUCACUCAUCGCCACGUUGACACCUCUACAUUCUGUAAAGUCGACGAGCUUAAGAAUUGUCAGUCUGAAAAUGUUUGGCGAGAUGUUUUUCAACCUCUUGCAACAAUACAUCAUAAGUACAGUGAGCCACGAGAAAUUUUCAAUGCAGCAGGGAACUUCUUCAAUAGCGGUGUUUUCCAGAUAGAGCCAUUUGAUACUCUUUGAAAUCAGAGGAAAAGUUCUCAAACUUGAGCAACCACUCAGAUCAAGCAUUUUAAGAGAUGACAAGUUGACAUCGGUUGGAAGAACCUCCAGCCCUGUGCAUUCUUUCAUUUCCAACCUCACCAAUUUUUGGAGAUUCCCAAUUGUAGAAGGAACUGUCACCAAACUUUUGCAAUUAGAGAGAUAUAAAUUCACCAGAUUAGUGGCCUUUGAAAGAUCUGGAAUUUCUGUCAGGUUUCCACAUUCUGACAUAUCCAUCUCCACGAGACUUGCAAGCGACUGAAACAGAAAUUAAAAAAAAAAAUUGUUAUGCUUCAAUCACUUUCAUUUUAAUUUAAUAACUAUACACAUUUAAACAAAAUUAUAAUCAAGACAUAAUUCUGUAUGUAAAUAUAAACCGUGGAAUCACAAGCCAUUUUGACAACUUUAAUUUGGUUAUACGUAAUUAUUUACAACAGAGGUUAAACAAAAAUCAGCAAAUGCUAUAAUAUUAACAAUGUACCUGGACGCCUUCCCAUAGCUUCUCAAGCAUUUGGUUGCCUCUCACUAUGAGACGAACCAGAUCAUUUGGGCGAAAUUCACAUGGCAUACAUCUCACAAGGCAGGCGAGAUAAUCAAGACCAGGGAGAUUCUUGUUCCAUAUACAAUUUUCUACGCGGAUCUCAAUUCCAUGUGGCGAAGUAGUUGAAGUUUCCAUUUUAAACACAGGGAAAUUUUUCUCAAAUUAUCGUAAUAAAGGAGACCGAGGUACUCAAGAGAUUCCAAGUUGAGAUGAGUUGGAAAACUCUCUAGCUUUGUGCAACCCCUCAUAUCUAAAUAGAUCAGUUUAAUGGCAUUCUGAAUCGAGGAAGAAAGUGUCACCAAAGAUCUGCAUUCCGAAAGAUUUAAUUCCUCGAGGUUUCUGGCAUUAGAAAGAUCUGAAAUUUCUCUCAAAUAUCUGGAACCAUGCAUAUUCAUCCUCUUGAGGCUUCCAAGUGGCUGAAAACAAAAUAGGGAAAAACAUAAUACACACAUUCAUAAACAUUUCAAAUAGAUUAAUUUUUACCACAGGUCUGUUCUAAAAAUUGACAACUAUUUCAAUGAAGAAUUAAGUACCACAGUUCCUUCCCACAGCUUCUCAAGCUUACUUCCCAUCAUUGUGAGUUGAAUGAGGUAAUCCGCCUUAAAACUAUAAGGCAAACAUUUCAAUGGACACCUAUCCCAGUCUAGCAAUCUGAGUUUAGGGGGCAAAUAAACGAGGCUCUGAGGUAGAUCCAUAUAAUCCCCAGUAACUGAUAGACAUUGGAGAUUACGCAUGCCUUGGAACGAUUUUUCAUCUAUUGGUAAUAGCUCUUUUGAUCGGAAAGCUGUGCAGAAACGUAUUCCAAGAACUGUUUCUGUCCCCUGAAAAAAAUACGAAGUAAACUAGUAUAAUGAUAUAAUCUUUACAAUGGCAACCGUUUUUAUUUUUCUGAGACAUCAAAAGAGCUAGCCACGUUUUAAUUAAGCAGGAGAGGCAACAAUUGUUAAAGUUUAUCAAUCCCCAAAUGACGAUUAAAUUAAUAUAAAGUCAUGCAUUAAAAGGCAUCUGCUAAAAACUUACAGUUUUCUCUGUCAAUACUUCUCAGAGUAUCCUCAAAAUCCGUUAGAAAUCGACGUUUUCCAGGAUUACCCUUGGACUUUGCACGAUCAAUUUCUAUACCCAAUUUCUCUAGCAAAUUGUGCAUCUCUAUAUCUCCAUCCGGUGUAAUACGUAUGAGGGACUUCUCAACCAACAUUGUAACCCCAACAUUAUCUUCAAGUAAAUCGUUGACGUAACUGACUUCAAAACCAUUGAAUAAACACGCGAUGUAAAGGAACAUAUCUUGAUCUUUUUGAUGUAAUCUAUCGUAGCUGACUCUUAAUGUUUUCAUAAUAUCUCCGUUCAAACCAUUUCGGAACCUAGGCAUCAUCUCCAUCCACUCUUCUUUGGUCCUUCGUUUUAAAGACGAACCAAGGACACUGAGACCCAAAGGAAGAUUACCGGCAAGCACUGCAACUUCAAAUGCUAGUGCCUUAAAAUCAUCAGGUGGAGAGUUUUCCCCAAAAGCAGAUCGGCAUAACAUCUUAAGAGCAAGAUCUAGAGAUGGGAACUUCACCUCAUAUAAAAGGUCAAUAUCAUGAGCCUUAAGAAGUUGCAUAUCUUGAGUGAUCACAAUAAUUCUGCUUCCAGGUCCAAACCAUUUAGUUUCCCCCACCAAGGUCUUAAGAAACUCUGGAUCAUCCACAUCAUCAAGAACGAUAAGAACUUUCUUCUGAUUUAACAUUUGCUCCACUACACCUAACUUCCCUCCUAUCUUUAUAUCCUUACCAAGAAUUUUUGACAGAAAUAUUUCUUCCCAUUCAGACUUCAUGCUAUAGACGUGAGGUACGAAAGCGUGAAAGUGGAAUUGGCAAAAGAGUUGACUGUAUAGAGCUUUUCCUAUGGUACUCUUACCAAUCCCUGAAGGCCCCCAAAUCCCAACCAUUCUAGCUUCCUUGGAUUCCAAGCACAAUAUUGAAUUCAUUGCCUCUAAAUGAGCUUCAAUUCCGACGAAAUCGCCAAAAGAAUUCGAUGGUGAAAUAAGCUUAUUCGAAACAUCAUUAGCUAUCUUUACAACCAUGGCUGCUUCACUAGGCCUAAUAACAGUAGUCAAAUUGUGUCAAUAAAGAGGCACCCCUAAAGCACACAAUCCAAAAAAAGAAGAAGCAGAUAGCAUAGUUCAGAGAUAAUUAAAAACACACUCAGAGAUAAUGAAAUCAAAAACAAAGUACCCGUUUCGAAGAUCUUCUCCGGCUAUAUUUGUUAUGUCUACUAGAGCUUGCAUCCAUCUUUGUUUCUGAUCCUCUUCUUUGUCCUCGCAUGUCUUUUUAAAAACAUCGCCAAAUUCGCCGGUCUGUUUUCUAACUUCCGAAGGAUCAACGUCGUAAAAAACUGAAAUCACCAAUUGACCCCAAUCAUUUAAGCGAUUGUGGAUCUCAACCAAUUCAUCCAAGCACCAAGUGGAAGAAGCAUAGUUCUUAGAGAAGAUCACGAUUGAGAUCCUUGCUUCUCUAAUCGCUGAUAUUAGCUCAGGGGCUAUUGUACGGCUUCGUUCGAUGCCAUGAUCCAUGAAUGUAUUGAUUGAUCUGCGGUCGAACGCCUCGAGUAGAUUGCUGAGGAACGUCUUGCGAACAUCUACCCCACUGAAGCUUGGGAAAACAUCGUAUCUCCGGCUGCAAGAAGAAGAAGCCGCCGCCAUGGAAUAUGAUGAGGAGAAGAUAAGUACAGUAAAUCGAAUACACAGUGAUUAUUGAUUAGAGUGAUUACUGUGAGGCCGGUCCUUAAGGGUGGGAUGCGCAAGGAAACUUCUUAUUUUUUGCCCAUAGGCCAUAAAUAUAAAAAUGUAGCGAAAUGUUUGUAAUGAGGUUCGAACCAAGGCCAAUGAAGCAUUUAAAACCUGAUUUCAAGUAUUCAACCGCUCAACUACAAGUUAUGAUGCCUCUUAAAUCAAUAUUAGAUUUAUUUUGGUGUCCAAGGUCUUUGCUUAUUGUAAAAAGGACAGCUUAUCGUAAACAUGUUGAGUGGGGAAUUCAGUCUUUGUUUCCCUAUACUUACAUGCAUAGAAACUAGGAGAAUUUGUAAGUAUAUCAAUUAUGAGGAUUUUAAUUCACAUAAUAAUAUAGUGAAAACAUUAACUAUCUAGUUUGUUAAAAAAAAAACUCUUUUAGCUUUCUAGAGUUGUGUGGUGUGGUGUGGAUGGACAGUGGAGUGAAGAUUUCUAGAAACUCUCUGCGUUUUGUGUUGAGUUCUCCUCAUUUUCUCAACUCCAUCCCCUUCAAGUACCUUGACACGUACAAUUCCUGAAACAACAACACAAAAAUCUAUGUGAAUUCAGCUCUCACGAUCAUCUAUCAAAUCACUUUAUCAGUAAUUUACAUUUUAAAGUUAUAUCAUGUUCUGGACUAACAAUGAAAACCAUUUUAUGUGAUAUUUGAAUCCAUAUGCUGGUGGCAAAGAAGAACAGAGCAUUUGUAUUAUGUCACACAAAUUCAGCAAUCAAGUGAAUGGAGAGUUUAUAAGGGAUGUAAGAUGAGAUUUUACCUCAGGCAAAGAGGUUUCACGAUUGCAGCUUGGCUACUUCCCAUAAGUCUUCACUGCCUCGUAGUUACUCAAUGUCCUUUAUGUUCCUAGGAAUCACAAGGUCGUUGUAAGACGGCAAGAACGAAAAAAGAGUGGAAUCGACUGAUGGUGUAUUAUAUUUUUAUUUAUUAUUAUUAGGUCAUUGGUGCAAAUAUCUGAAGCAAACCUGCACAAACCAAUUCAGCUAAAAUAAGCACCAGAGAAAUUAGCUUUCACAUCCUAAAUGUGACAAUGACUAGCUCACUUGACCUCAGGGUCGUGAUUGAGUUUGGUGGUUGUGGCCGGUGAGUAGGACGGGUGGAAGCUGGUUUUGUAUGUAUGGGGCAGUGGUGGUGCUGAGUUAUGUUGUAAUCACUGUUUUUUACUGUGAGUGUAGGAAACGCCAUGGUAGCAGUGAUGCAUUUAAUGCUGAUGAGGUUGCUAUUUAAAAAUUUAGUUCCAACACUUUUUUGUUGUUGAUAAUUCUCUUGUGAAAUACAUUUUUCUUUACCGAAUUUAUUCAUUGAUUUAAAGAGAGAAAAAUAACCUUUGGUAACAUACACGUAGAGAGAUAUGUGUGUUUCAAAAGACAAGACUGUUAUAUUUACAUCUUUUCAGGAAAGCGAAUUUUUCAAAGAAGCAAAACAGAGAGAAGUAAGAACAGAGUGGUUCUGCUGUUCUGGACAUGGAACCAUAAAAGUUUUCUAGUUGUCAGUGCUCCAUCAUCUGCAGGAGAAAAUGGCUUGUGUGAAAAACUAAGAAAUCGUCUUGUCAUUACCAGUAUAGUCAUGGUCGAUCCCAUGUUCAUUAUAAAACAGAGUUGUAAUACGUUUCAGGUUACCUUAACAAUGUGAUAAGCUGUAGAGACGGCUAAGGAUCCAGGAAAGGAAUCUUAACAAUGUGAUGGUGUGAAUUCAGUCAAGGCAGAUCUUAACUGUUCAGGGUCAGCAGUGAAAGGUGUCGUCCCCAUCAGACCAUACGUUUUAUUUAGGCCCUUGAUGCAAAGAUCUGAAGCAAACCAAUUCAGUCAAGAACAGCCCCAGAGAAUGAGCUUCCCAUCCUAGAUGUUCUAGUGAGUAGUUCAGGCCUACAACUUUCACUCUUCUCGAUAUAAUUAAAGAGUGCAGCGGCAUAGGGGAACAGCAGCGACAUAUUUUCUCAUCGACGUAGGAUAGCUGGAUGAUACUUCAUGGUUUGGAAGUGGACCAGACAAUGUCUCCUGUAGAAAGUUUAAAAGCUCUUUCCUUCACCCGAAGGAUUGUUCCUUAUGCUGGUUACAUCUUUGGCCGAAGUUAGGCCAAAAACGCUUCUGCCUUUUGGCUAUUGAAUCAGCGGAUAUGCAAAUGUUGCUGAUUCUUGUUGUUUUCUGUACCCAAAGUCUGAUUUAUUCAUUGCUAAUAAAGAGAAAAACAACCUUUACUAACAUAAACAUUGAGAUCUAUGUUUUAAAAAGGCAAGACUAUUUUGGGUAGUACCUGCACUCAAGCAGGUACGCUCCCAAAUUCAAUGUCUUUCUUAAAAAUAGAAUAUGUUUUUACAAAACAAAACAAUGCCAAAGAUGUUUUUCCAGAAUAUGCUAAAGUAUGGCUUUCUGAAACAUUUAUUCUUUCAGGAAAAGUGAAAUGUUCAAAACAAACGCAGAGCUGGAUAAUGUAACGGACUUUGGUUCUCCUAAAGAUCUUCAUCAUCUGCAGUUAAUUAUCAUUAUCAUUAUAGUCAUAGUCGAUCCCAAGUUAUCCUAAAACAGAGUAAAACAGAAUGAUAAGAUGCUUCAGUUACCAGAAUCAGUAGACAAGAUAGGAAUUUCUUCAUCUUGUUCUUCAGUUAUCAUGUAAUCAACACACAAAGCUUCCCCCUCUAGAGAUGUUGAUGAUGAUGCUUCUCCCUGCCCUAACGAAAGCUCCAUAUUUAGAGCGGCCAAUCCUGAGUCCGCUACAAUUUGGCCAUAGGGUAAGUUGAUAUAUUCUUCAGAUGUCCCCGAUGUCAUCUGCAUUAUAAAUCAAACGAUCGAUUCUAUUAAAUAGUCUGUCCCUAUGGUGUUUCGAUCCUGAAAAAUCAAACCAAAAGUCAAAAGAUAGCUUUAUAAUUUUCAGCUCUAAUCAAAAGUCAAAAGAUACCCCCAUCCGCUUCUCGCUUCUCGUAGUCUGUUGGUUGUACUCUGUUUCUUGAUAGACAUACAAGAGUCGUACACCGCAUUCUUUGAUCCUAUUGGAGCAACAAAAUUUAAACUCCAUUCAGACCAGAUCUUGAAGGAACAGAAAAACAGAUGAUCCGUCUUACAAAACUGCAGGUCUGCAUCUUCAAAAAAUGAUUUCUGAUACUGUUUGCCAUUGAAGCCAACAUUUACCUUCAAGGAUGGAUAAAAACCCUUGCCCUCGGAGGGAGGUUCAACCACGACGCAAGCCUUAAAUGGAAAGAAGUAUUGAGAAAGAGAGCUCUGAGGUAAAGUGACAGUUAGGGAAUCUCCAUAAGCUCGAUACGUGAAAUACUUAGGGAUUUCUCCACCUGGUAAGGCCACAUGCUUGAAGCAUGAUCGUAGGAUAAGUUCUCGCGCAUCUCUUUCCAAUUUGAAGCAAUUGCAGAAGCUAAAGGAUUCCCUACGUAAGCGCCAAUCUACGACGUAGUUCUUAUAAUCAUCAUCAUACAACGCAUCCCAGAAACGUUCACAUGUAUAUUCAAUGUUUUCAGAUAAUGGUACACAAGAAACGUGAUCUUCCAUUGUCGCUACCACAGUUGCAUCACUCAACGCCUUGAUGACACCUCUACAGUCUGUAAAGUCGGCGAACAUUAGACUUCUCAGUCUGAAAAUGUUUGGGGAGAUGUUUUUCAACCUCUGGCAACAAUACAUCAGUAGUACACGGAGCCUCGUGAAAUCCUCAAUGCAGCAGGGAACUUCUCCAAUGGCGGUGUUUUCCAGAUAGAGCCAUACAAUAUUAGUUGAAAUCAGAGGAAAAGUUCUCAAACUUGAGCAACCACUGAGAUCGAGGAUACCCAGAGAUGACAAGUUGACAUCGGUUGGAAGAACCUCCAGCCCUGUGCAUCUUUUCAUGUACAAACGUCUCAAAUUUUGAAGAUUCCCAAUUGUAGAAGGAAGUGUCACCAAACUUUUGCAGUUGUUGAGUAUCAAAGACUCGAGCUUGGUGGCCUUUGAAAGAUCUAGAAUUUCUUCAAUGGCGGUGUUUUCCAGAUAGAGCCAUUUGAUACUCUUUGAAAUCAGAGGAAAAGUUCUCAAACUUGAGCAACCACUGAGAUCGAGGGUUUCGAGAGAUGACAAGUUGACAUCGGUUGGAAGAACCUCCAGCCCUGUGCAUUCUUUCAUUUCCAACCUCACCAAUUUUUGGAGAUUCCCAAUAGUAGAAGGAAGUGUCACCAAACUUUUGCAGUUGUUGAGAUAUAAAUGCUUCAGAUUGGUGGCCUUUGAAAGAUCUGGAAUUUCUGUCAGGUUUUCAGAUUCUGACAGAUCCAUCUCUUCGAGACUUCCAAGCGACUGAAAAAAACAUUAUCGAUGAUAAUCAUUUUAAUUUUAUACCUAUAUAUGUUUAAAAUUAUAAUUAAACAUUAUUACGUAUGUAUGUAAGACAUAACCGUGGAUCGACCACAAGCCAUAAAAACAAAUUUGGGUAUACUUAAUUAGUUAUAUAACAGAAGGUAAACAAAAAUCAGCAUAGCAUUAACAAUGUACCUGGAUGCCUUCCCAUAGCUUCUCAUGCUUGUAGCACCUCACAUUGAGAAAAACGAGAUAUUCUGGGCGAAAUUCACAAGGCAUACAUCUCAUAAGGCAGUCGAGAUAAUCUAGUCCAGCAGGGAGAUUCUUGUUCCAGAAACAAUCUUCUACCACGAUCUCAUUUCUCCCUUCCGGAAAGUCAACGUCUGAACAUCCCAUUUUGAUUGCUGGGAAAUUUCUCAAAUUCGGGCAUCCAGUGAGAUUGAGGUACUCGAGAGAUUCCAAGUUGAGAUCGGUUGGAAAACUCUCUAGCUUUUUGCAAUCACUAAUAUCUAAAUAGAUAAGUUUAAUGGCAUUCUGCAUCGAGGAAGGAAAUGUCACCAAGGAUUCGCAUUUACAAAUAUCUACUUCCUCGAGGUUUAUGGCUAAAGAAAGAUCUGGAAUCUCUUUCAAAUAUUUGGAACCACGCAGAAACAUCUGCUUGAGUCUUCCAAGUGGCUAAUAACAAAAUAGGGGAAAAGAGAGUACACACGUUAGUGAACAUUUUAAACAGAUUCAUUUUAGUUUUUCUAACAGAUUUAUGUUUAGAAAUUGAUCACUAAUAGAAUUAGUACCUGAGUUCCAUCCCACAGCUUCUCAAGGUCACUAUUCUCCAUUCUGAGUUUAACCAGAUACUCAACCUUAAAAUUAGAAUGCAAACGCUUCAAUGGACAAUUAUUCCACAAUAGCAAUCUGAGUUUACUAGGGAAAUAAACGAUGCCCUGAGUGCCUUCCAUACGUGAGCAAUCAACUGAUAGAUAUUCGAGAUUACACAUGCCUUCUAAUGAUUUUAAAUCUAUUAAUAGCACCCCCGAACAAUAUAACGUCCUCAGUUUAAUGGCAUUCUGAAUCGAGGAAGGAAGUGUCACCAAAGAUUCGCAUUCAGAAAGAUUUAAUUCCUCGAGGUUUAUGGCUAAAGAAAGAUCUGGAAUUUCUUUAAAAUAUUUGGAAUACCACAAAUUCAUCUUCUUGAGACUUCCAAGGGGCUGAAAACAACAUAUGGAAAAAGAGAAUACACACGUUCACAAUUUUUUUAAAACAGAUUCAUUUGAAGCUUUUCUAACAUAUAUAUGUUCAUAAAUAUACCACAGUUCUAUUCUAAAAACUGACAACUAAUAAAAUUUAUAAUUCGUACCAG
rnacentral:lncRNA from 1 species